rnacentral:rRNA from 1 species
UUUCCCUCAGGAUAGCUGGCACUCGUUCGAACGAGUCUCAUCUGGUAAAGCGAAUGAUUAGAGGCCUUGGGGCCGAAACGACCUCAACCUAUUCUCAAACUUUAAAUGGGUGAGAUCUCUGGCUUGCUUGAAUACUGAAGCCACGAGAUAUAUCAUUUAAAUGAUGAAUGGAUCAGAGUGCCAAGUGGGCCAAUUUUGGUAAGCAGAACUGGCGCUGUGGGA